AACAGAGUAGAAAAUAAAGCGUUAAGUGCUUAGAGGAUGGGAUGUUGCCUCUAGGACGAAGGACGUAAGUUCGCGGUUUUAUUUUCGCAUUCGCUGCA
rfam:Enterococcus mundtii QT 25 DNA, complete genome.